rnacentral:rRNA from 1 species
UAGCAUAUCCAUAAGCGGAGGAAAAGAAACCCAACAGGGAUUGCUUUAGUAACGGCGAGUGAAGCGGCAACAGCUCAAAUUUGAAAUCUGGCUCUUUCAGAGUCCGAGUUGUAAUUUGCAGAGGGCGCUUUGGCUUUGGCAGCGGUCCAAGUUCCUUGGAACAGGACGUCACAGAGGGUGAGAAUCCCGUACGUGGUCGCUAGCUAUUGCCGUGUAAAGCCCCUUCGACGAGUCGAGUUGUUUGGGAAUGCAGCUCUAAAUGGGAGGUAAAUUUCUUCUAAAGCUAAAUAUUGGCCAGAGACCGAUAGCGCACAAGUAGAGUGAUCGAAAGAUGAAAAGCACUUUGGAAAGAGAGUCAAACAGCACGUGAAAUUGUUGAAAGGGAAGCGCUUGCAGCCAGACUUGCUUGCAGUUGCUCAUCCGGGCUUUUGCCCGGUGCACUCUUCUGCAGGCAGGCCAGCAUCAGUUUGGGCGGUGGGAUAAAGGUCUCUGACACGUUCCUUCCUUCGGGUUGGCCAUAUAGGGGAGACGUCAUACCACCAGCCUGGACUGAGGUCCGCGCAUCUGCUAGGAUGCUGGCGUAAUGGCUGUAAGCGGCCCGUCUUGAAACACGGACCAAGGAGUCUAACAUCUAUGCGAGUGUUUGGGUGUCAAGCCCGAGCGCGUAAUGAAAGUGAACGGAGGUGGGAACCCGCAAGGGCGCACCAUCGACCGAUCCUGAAGUUUACGGAAGGAUUUGAGUAAGAGCAUGGCUGUUGGGACCCGAAAGAUGGUGAACUAUGCUUGAAUAGGGUGAAGCCAGAGGAAACUCUGGUGGAGGCUCGCAGCGGUUCUGACGUG